rnacentral:misc_RNA from 1 species
UUGAAUAAACCUGAUGUAGUUGUAGCUGGCUCUCUCGGGAGCAUGUGCACGCUCGUCAUCUUUAUAUUUCCACCUGUGCACCUUUUGUAGACCCAGGCGGCUUGAGCAAUCAAGUCAUUUGGGCCUAUGUCUUAUCAUAUACCCCAAGUAUGUAUUAGAAUGUAUCAAUGGGCUUCGUGCCUAUAAACAUUAUA